rnacentral:rRNA from 1 species
CCUACGGGAGGCAGCAGUGAGGAAUAUUGGUCAAUGGACGCGAGCCUGAACCAGCCAAGUAGCGUGAAGGAUGAAUGCCCUACGGGUUGUAAACUUCUUUUAUAAAGGAGUAAAGUGAGGCACGUGUGCAUUUUUGUAUGUACUUUAUGAAUAAGGAUCGGCUAACUCCGUGCCAGCAGCCGCGGUAAUACGGAGGAUCCGAGCGUUAGCCGGAUUUGUUGGGUUUAAAGGGAGCGUAGAUGGGUUGUUAAGUCAGGUGUGAAAGUUUGCGGCUCAACCGUAAAAUUGCAAUUGAUACUGGCAGCCUUGAGUACAGUUGAGGUAGGCGGAAUUCGUGGUGUAGCGGUGAAAUGCUUAGAUAUCACGAAGAACUCCGAUUGCGAAGGCAGCUUACUAAACUGCAACUGACAUUGAUGCUCGAAAGUGUGGGUAUCAAACAGGAUUAGAUACCCGUGUAGUC